rnacentral:lncRNA from 1 species
AGAAAUUCCUAGCUGGUCCUCACCUCACAAAUCUUGCCCCUUCCCCAAUGCUCAAAAUGGCUUAUUUUCCACAUAGCACCCUAAGAUAUCUAAGAGAUCUUUUCAAAUAAGUCAUAAUGGGAUUAUGACACAUUCCUGCUUCAACCUUCCAAUUGUUCUCAUUGCAUGAGAACAAAACCCGAACCUACAAGGCCCUGCAUGAGCUGACCUCUCACUGCCUCUCCAUCUCUCCCUUGCCCCAUUCACCCUUCCCUCACCUCCAGACAAUGGCAUGGUGGCCUGUCAGCUUCCCAGAGGCUCUGGCCUCUUCACUGCCUUAGGGUGCAUGUUUUGCCCACCUAGAAACCGAUGCCCCCACUUCCCUCCAGCUUUUUUUCUUUUUGCCUAAUUCUUACUCAUUCGACAAGUCUCAGCUCAAAUAUUACAUCCUUAAAGAAGCUUCUGUGUUAGCCUGGGUUCUCCAGAAAGUGAAGCCCAGGCAAAGGGUUGCUCGUCUGUUAUUUUAAUAGCAGGAGGGAGGACCAGGAAGGGAGGGGAGCAUGGAAGGAGGAAAGGCAAAUGUGAGGAUGUUCUGGGCAUCUCCAAAUGCAACUGGCUGCUUGAUCUGCAGGACCACAUCCCCAGGAAAUCAAAUAGACUUGGGACCAUCCUUCAGAAGCAAGCAAAGAGGAGAUACUGUCUCUGGCUCCUAUCUCUCAAUGCUCAAAGGUUCACCCAUGGGAUGUCAACUCUCCGGCAUUUCUAGGCUGUGCGUGUGUGAGCGUGAGCACUGAGAAGGCCUCCUGGUAUCAUUAACAGGGCAGCUCCAGAGCAGGAAGGCAGAGAUGUGAGAUACAGAUGGUGAGCGAUAGGCUAUCAGGUCGUACUUGCAUGAAAUCACCACCACCACGCAGAGCUGGAACAGGAGACAAAAGAAGCUGGGAAGAUCAAAGUGGAGUAUAAAAACUGGCUGAGAAAUUCUUCCUGAUCCUCCCAACUCCAUCCAGGUCAUCCUGUGACUUCAUUCAUUGGACAGGAGGAGAACUGGAGAAAGACGUUAAAGAGAGAACUUUCAGGGGCAGAUGAGAGGAGAAAAGAAUUAAACAGAUGGCAAAAAUCUCCCAAUCGUUAUUUAUCGCCAUCAUUAUUUUGUAGAGGAAAAUGCAAAGACAUGAGCAGGUUGAUAGGAAGUGCUGGUGAUCGUGCAGCAACAAAAAAAGUGACAGCCCUGAGGUUUUCAGAAAGGAGAGAAUGAGAAGGGAGUGGCUGAAGUGGGUGCAACUUCACGACUUUAGACUUAAUGAGAAUCUUCCGUAUUUAAAAAUCUGAAUCUCUAGCUUCUUAAUUGUGUUGCAUGCUUUUG